UUUUUUUUUUAGUUUGAUCAGAUGGAAACUGAUGUCAUGUGUUCCCUGAGAACAUUACUGAUAAUCAUGAUUCUUCUGCAUGGAACGAGUAGUCAAGAUUCAGUUUCCCAGAGCCCACCUCAAUUAUCGGUUGAGGAAGAACAAACGGUAAUGUUGAACUGUAGUUACAACUCGUCGGGUGGUGCUACUCUCUUCUGGUACGUCCAAUAUCCCGGGGAAGCUCCGAGAUAUUUACUGAAGAGGUACAAGGAUGAAGAGGGGGAUAGCUCACCAGAUUUCCGUAACCGGUUUUCUGCCAAUUUGGACAAAGUCAAAAAAGUGGUCCCUUUGAGAAUUAAUGAAACCCGUCUGUCUGACUCAGCCAUCUAUCACUGUGCACUGAGCUCCACACUGAUACAGAGACCCAAUGUUAAGCGUGCAGACUCGGUCUCACAGGAGCAGACUAUUGUGAUACAGUUUGAAGGAGAUUCGGUGACCAUUAAUCUCAGCUAUUCUGCCAGAGCUGACAAGUAUUGCUUACAAUUGUAUCGUCAAGACAUCGCUACUGACUGGAUGUUUGUCUGUAUAAUCCAUCAUCCUGCUGCCCUUCAGUGUGAUAUACUGCCAAAGCUUUUCCGAGAAAGUUCUGACGACAUUGGCAGCUCAGGUUACUAUAGCUCGAUCUGGAACCUGCAAGCAUGA